rnacentral:rRNA from 1 species
UGACUACGGACGGGUGAGUAACCCGUGAGAAUCUGGCUCCAGGUUCGGGACAACCACUGGAAACGGUGGCUAAUACCGGGUAUGCCGAGAGGUGAAAGGUUAACUGCCUGGAGAUGAGCUCGCGUCUGAUUAGCUAGUUGGUGGUGUAAGGGACUACCAAGGCGACGAUCAGUAGCUGGUCUGAGAGGAUGAUCAGCCACACUGGAACUGAGACACGGUCCAGACUCCUACGGGAGGCAGCAGUGGGGAAUUUUCCGCAAUGGGCGAAAGCCUGACGGAGCAAUACCGCGUGAGGGAGGAAGGCUCUUGGGUUGUAAACCUCUUUUCUCAGGGAAUAAGCAAGUGAAGGUACCUGAGGAAUCAGCAUCGGCUAACUCCGUGCCAGCAGCCGCGGUAAUACGGAGGAUGCAAGCGUUAUCCGGAAUGAUUGGGCGUAAAGCGUCCGUAGGUGGCUGUGUGUGUCUAUUGUUAAAGAGUUUGGCUCAACCAAAUAAGGGCGGUAGAAACUACACAGCUAGAGUGCGUUCGGGGCAGAGGGAAUUCCUGGUGUAGCGGUGAAAUGCGUAGAGAUCAGGAAGAACACCGGUGGCGAAAGCGCUCUGCUAGGCCGCAACUGACACUGAGGGACGAAAGCUAGGGGAGCGAAUGGGAUUAGAUUCCCMMRKUAGUCAGUCRA